UGGGGAAUAUUGGACAAUGGGCGAAAGCCUGAUCCAGCCAUGCCGCGUGUGUGAAGAAGGCCUUUUGGUUGUAAAGCACUUUAAGCGAGGAGGAGGCUACUUGGAUUAAUACUCUAGGAUAGUGGACGUUACUCGCAGAAUAAGCACCGGCUAACUCUGUGCCAGCAGCCGCGGUAAUACAGAGGGUGCGAGCGUUAAUCGGAUUUACUGGGCGUAAAGCGUGCGUAGGCGGCUUCUUAAGUCGGAUGUGAAAUCCCUGAGCUUAACUUAGGAAUUGCAUUCGAUACUGGGAAGCUAGAGUAUGGGAGAGGAUGGUAGAAUUCCAGGUGUAACGGUGAAAUGCGUAGAGAUCUGGAGGAAUACCGAUGGCGAAGGCAGCCAUCUGGCCUAAUACUGACGCUGAGGUACGAAAGCAUGGGGAGCAAACAGG
rnacentral:rRNA from 1 species